rnacentral:rRNA from 1 species
UACGUAGGGGGCUAGCGUUGUCCGGAUUUAUUGGGCGUAAAGAGCGUGUAGGCGGCCAAGUAGGUCCGGUGUGAAAACUCGAGGCUUAACCUCGAGAUGUCAUCGGAAACCAUUUGGCUAGAGUCCGGAAGAGGAAAGUGGAAUUCCUGGUGUAGCGGUGAAAUGCGCAGAUAUCAGGAAGAACACCAAUGGCGAAAGCAGCUUACCAAGCUGUAACUGACACUGAGGCACGAAAGUGUGGGGAUCAAACAGG